ACAUGCCUACAAAUUAGCAUUAAUGCAUCGGAUCCCAUUAGAACUUUGCAAUUAAGAGUGCUCGGGCUAGAGUAGUACUUGGAUGGGUGAUCGUCCGGAAAGUCCUAGUAUUUUACAUGCC
rnacentral:rRNA from 1 species